rfam:Ferrovum sp. Z-31 FEMY_contig000044, whole genome shotgun sequence.
GAAGUUGGUUGGACAGUCGCCGCGGAAUUCGUUCCGGGGAGGAAAGUCCGGGCUCCACAGAGCAGGAUGCCGGCUAACGGCCGGAGGUCGCGAGGCCAUGGAAAGUGAUACAGAGACUUAAACCGCCCAAGCAUCCGGAAGGAUGACGGCAAGGGUGAAAAGGUGCGGUAAGAGCGCACCGCGGAGGCGGCAACGCUGACGGCAAGUUAAACCCCAUCCGGAGCAAGACCAAAUAGGGAAGCAUUGGCGUGGCUCGCGCCGCUUCCGGGUAGGUUGCUGGAGCCGUCAGGUAACUGGCGGCCUAGAGGAAUGACUGUCCUAGACAGAACCCGGCUUACAGAUCAACUUCCCCC